GGUGGGCCCCCCGGAUGGUUUUCCGGGAACCUGGUCAGGUCUGAGAGGAAGCAGCCAUAACCGAUUUGAGCCAGUUCGGGAUUCCGGCCCACCGCU
rnacentral:SRP_RNA from 1 species